CUUAACGGCCGCGGCACCAAAACCGUGCAAAGGUAGCACAAUCACUUGUCCCUUAAAUGAGGACUCGUAUGAAAGGCAACACGAGAGAAAACCUGUCUCCUAAGAUUAGCCAAUGAAAUUGAACUGCCAGUACAAAAGCUGGCAUACCAAAGCAAGACAAAAAGACCCUGUGGAACUUAAAUAGCCUGUUUACAAAAACUAAACAAUAAUUUUAGUUGGGACAACUUUAGAAAAAACUAACCUCUAACACCCCCC
rnacentral:rRNA from 1 species